GACGAACGCUGGCGGCGUGCUUAACACAUGCAAGUCGAGCGGUAAGGCCCUUUCGGGGUACACGAGCGGCGAACGGGUGAGUAACACGUGGGUGACCUGCCCUCAGCUCUGGGAUAAGCCUGGGAAACCGGGUCUAAUACUGGAUAUGACUCCAUGGCGCAUGUUGUGGGGUGGAAAGCCUUGUGCGGCUGAGGAUGGGCCCGCGGCCUAUCAGCUUGUUGGUGGGGUGANGGCCUACCAAGGCGACGACGGUAGCCGGCCUGAGA
rnacentral:rRNA from 1 species